GUGGCAAUGAGAAAAGUGACUAAGACAUCCCAUUUCUUCCAGCUGUGACAUAAGUGGCAACAACAGCAAUACCAGUCACCAAGCAAUGACUUCCUUCAGCUGUCGAUUCGUGCAAGUGGAGCUAAGACUACGGCUUCAGGAGGCCCUCCUUAUCCAUGCUAGAAUGUUGACGGGCUUGAUCUCGUGCAAAUCUUCUGCAGACACCCAUGACUGCUAGGAGCGCCUGAACAUAACAACCAUGUGUCAGUAGGGACAUCUUUCCUGGCAGGUCAAGAUAUAGCAUGUAGUGCUGGGUGAGACUAGGACCUUUUCUCUCCCAAUGGUCUGUACAGUGCUUCCCAGCUCCAUGAAAGCUUGGCGGUAGUGAAGAAAUUUCUAGCUAGGUUUGAAAUACCCAUGCCCUCCUCCUCUGCAAAGUCUGGACACUCCCGACAUUCCUAUGACAGCCGGGGAGAGGCUCUGUAAAAGUUGAGAUUGAUGGGGUCCAUUCAGGAGUGUGCUCUUUAGGGGGAAAGGA